AUACGUAGGGGGCGAGCGUUGUCCGGAAUGACUGGGCGUAAAGGGUACGUAGGCGGCUAGACAAGUCAGAUGUGAAAGGCGCAGGCUUAACCUGUGUAAGCAUUUGAAACUGUUUAGCUUGAGUUAAGGAGAGGAAAGUGGAAUUCCUGGUGUAGCGGUGAAAUGCGUAGAUAUCAGGAGGAAUACCAGUGGCGAAGGCGACUUUCUGGACUUAUACUGACGCUGAGGUACGAAAGCGUGGGGAGCAAACAGGAUUAGAUACCCUGGUAGUCCACGCCGUAAACGAUGAGUGCUAGGUGUCGGGGGUCAAACCUCGGUGCCGGAGUUAACACAUUAAGCACUCCGCCUGGGGAGUACGUUCGCAAGAAUGAA
rnacentral:rRNA from 1 species